UACCCCCACCCGAAUCUUGUUCGUAUCGUGAAUUCGUAUAGCCAGUAUUCCAGAUAGCUGCCACAACACAUUCGAUCUCGUGUAGCCUCAAAAGUUUUUUUUCCGUUAAUCCUCCAUGCGCCGUUGUAAACGCUUCAAGACAAUACUUUUCCCUCUCAUAUAAAAGAGAAAUACUCGCGCAUUGCAAUUUUCAUACUUGUGUCGCUUCGAACAGCUUGCUCUCUCUCUCUCUUUCUUUCCCUCCCUCUCUUUUCGUUUGAUCCGCGACGUUUACACCUCGGCCGCGCAAGUAAACCUCAAAAUAUUCGUACGCGAACGCUCCUGUGUAAAAAUUAAAAAAUAAAAAAACGUUACUAAAACGCUCGGGAAUUUGCAAAGCAUGGACGUGGGCCUGUUGCUGCAACAAUUUCAAUAUGCCAUACCCGUUGGUAUCGUCAUAAUAUGCGCGAUAAUCGUUUACGCGUUUGGUUUCAAAAAUGCUGAGCAACCACCUUUUGCACAGCUGUCGACGUUGAACGACGCGGACCGGAAACAAAGUGGCAAGAAACGGAGCGGCAAGAUCAAAGAAAAACGAUCCACCAAUGCUCAAGUGACAAACGAAAAAUCCAGUCCUGCCAAAAAAGUAUCACCAGCCAAAGCCGAACCGGCAAAAAAAUCUGUUGCCAAAACUAGUGAAGAAACAGAUGGUAAAUUGAAAGAAAGAAAACAGGAAGAUAAUAAACCAGCUGUACCUAAGAAGGACAAAAACCAAACAACAAAAUCUGGCAAGGAGAACAAAGUAGAGCAAACCAAGAACAAGAAAAAUCUUAAGAAUCUUGUGCUAGAAAAGCCUCUUGACUUUGAUGAUGGAGACUGGGAGCCAGCGUAUUCGAGAAAGGAUAAGAAAAAUAAGAAAAAGGAAGAUGAAACUCCAUCAAAGAAAAAUAAAAAAAACAAAAAGUCUGAUCAGUUGAUAAACGAGAACGUGGUGAGAGACAAGGAUAACGAAAAGGUGGAGAUUAAGGACAAAGUUGCAAAAGAAACUGAGAACAAGGAGUUGAAAGAAAAGAACCAAAAGGAUGUUGUCCUCCAACCAAUUGUCGUAGAAGUACUCCGCGUCGAGAACAAUGUUGAUGCGAAAAAAACUGAAGCAACGAAGAUUGAGAAGGUCGAGAAAACCGAAAAGGAAGAGAAGAAGACGAAAUCUAAGAAAUCCAAGAAAGUCAGUGAGAGUGACAACGUCCCUCUCUCAUCGCCGACUCCAGUUAUAGAGAAAAAACCUGCAGAAAAAGUUGUCUCAAAGAAAUCGGAGGAAACAAAGAAAAAAUCAGAACCGGUCGAAGCAACUACGAAAUCCGUUGAAACGGAGGACAAAAAUGCACCGGUAUUCGACGAAUUGGGAGAUGUCUGGACGGAAGCGAAGCCACAGAAAAAGAGUAAAAAGAAGGCGCGAAAAGACAAUUGAGAAUGAUUGCGAAGUUAAACGGAAAAGAGUACAGAAAAUUGAAGAUUAAGAGGAUGGAAAAAUACGGGAAAAACAAACCAAUAAGGAAUUGUUCCUCGGUAUGGGAAAUCGAAGUUGGAGGGACAAAAAGGGAAACUUCGAUUUGAGCGACAAAGAGAUGUCUGUUCGUCGGUCGCUUUAGUCAAAUCUGUCUGGACGUGUGUGUUAUAUGUGUGCGUGUGUAUGUGUGGCUAAAAGCGCGUGCGUAUGUCUCAAGUUUACGAGAACGCUGGCCGAAGAGUGAUAAUUCGAUUUCCUUGUACAUAAAUAUAAAUCUAUAUAUACAUAUAUCGAUAUUAAAAAAAAAAAAGAAAAAAAACUAAGAAAAGAAAAAUGACAAUUGGGUCGAAUUUUCGACCUGUAGAGAUCUUAGGGUACACAUCACAUUUGGUCGUGGCAAAUUGGGCGACGAAGAGACGAAAGGAUGUAAGAAAAAGUUAAUGAAAACUUGAAGAGAGUUGCUCGAACAAUUUUUUGUUUUCUUUAUUUUGCUCAGUCUGCAGCUUUCGAUGCGAAAUCGCAUUAAAAAAAUCACAACAGAUUAGAGUAGAGCAUAUUUUUUUCCCAUAUAAAUAUCGUGAUCUUAUUCUUUUUUUUGCUUCCGGGCUCUUCAAACCUCGAACGCUUGAUAGAAACACAAAAUAAUAGAAAUAGCGCUGGAGAAACGAGAUAAAAGACAAAUAUGUACAGCGAUGCUGAGUAUGAAAGAAACGAAAUUAGAGAACGAGAGAAAGAGAGAGAGAUGUGCAUGAAAAAAUGUCGAAUUUGAUUUGUAAGUUUUUUUUUGUUCACGACUCGCUGGUAUUUCCCUCCCGCCCUUUUCAAUGAAUUACUAUCAACGAAUCAUUGGAAAGAGACUCAAAUCCAAUCGAGGGAUUUCUGUAUAUAAAAAGUUACAAAAAGUGUCAAAAUAAUCAACGCUCUCCGUGAUAAAAAAAACACUCGGACAGGAGGUUUACUCGUAACAAUAAAUUUUUCGGAGAACACGAGUGUUUCUAAACAAAUGUUGAGAAAUUUUGAAAAUCUCCAAACAACUUGAGAUUGAAAUAUUUUUCAUGCCCUCAUGCUUAGAGCAUUUUUCACGAUCGCUCUCAGUUUCAAUCAUCCACACACGUUCUCUCUUGAACGAGUUUGAAUUGUAUACGAUUUUGGUGGAGGAAAUCUCGGGAAAAAGACAAAUCAAUGAUAAAAGCGGAAUCGAUGUUUCGCGAUUGUAAAUUUCCUCAGCGUGUCUCACUGUACUGGAUAGUGAACUACUCACAUUUUACGCGGACGAAAACGUCCGUCGUCAAAGUAACUGGAAAAUAAAAAUGUGAUGAGUCGAAACAAAUACCUGGCCCAGCGCAACGAAUGAGGGGGGGUGUGCUUUUUCACGUUCGAAAUCUUCUUUUACACUACCGAAGAAAAUGCUCACGGACAGAGUAGGAAGGAAAAAAACAGAGAAAAUAGCAGUUUAUAGUUUGCCACAAUUUUCCAGUUAUUUCUCUACCGGUGGUCUCUCUGAUCGUGCCAAAAUGAACUUUGAUCGUUCUAUCCCAUAGUAAACGCGUUGAUAACAUUAAUUGGUGUUUUUUUCUUUUUACAAUGAAACAUCGUCACAUUCGUUACGUUUUCGUAAAAAAUGUCUUGUUCGAUUAAUUUUUGUGUAAUCCGAUUUUGUGUAAUUUCGAGUAAUAUUUGUGCGUCGUUGCAUCGUCGUUAUACGACGUAAAAAAAUUGUUUCGUGCUUAGACCCCAAUCAACGCAAUCCAAUUGUUUUUCUCCAGAGAAUAGAGAAGCAGUAAUGCCAAAAAUGAAUGUUAUUAUCAAUGCCAAACGUUUUCCUUCGAAUCGACGAAAUGUAAUUGAGAAUGAUUGUACUUUAAAGAAAAAUGACGAACCAACAACGAGUAAGGGUAUAAAGAGUUUGCAAGCAAAAGUUCCGAAAGUAUUUCGGUGAAAAAAAUACACAUAUAUUUUUUGUAAAACGCAGCCCGAUAUUCGAUAAUUGAUUCUUGAAAAGGGAGAGGGAUGUACUAUCGAUCUUCGUCACAUGUAGGUAGCUCAUCGUUAUUUUUGGAAUAAGAUUUAAAAAAUUUUUCAAACGAUAAGAAAUUUCGAAAACACGAACGAAGAAAGGAUUGAAAUUCGAUCACCGCUGUGUGAGAGAGAUCGAUUUUUUUUCUAAAAUAACGAAAGAUGCCUCAUUCAGAAUUUUCGUAACUCGCGAAAAUUUUGGUCACGAAUCCUUAGAGAUUGUAAAUUACCAAAAAAAAAACGACGAAAACAAACAGAGGACGAGGUGAAAAGGAAGAAAGAGAGAAAUAUGCAUAUUUUGAAUAACUUACAUUUGUACAUACUCGUAAUCAUGAAUAUUGUCUUAUAAUUGGAUUCCAUCCGUGAAAAAAACAUUUUUUUAAACCGGUAGCAAACAUGAACACCGUUCGAGGGCCGAAAAAAAAAUCACGUUUUCGAAUAAUCUUCAAUCUCCGUAAGCGAACGAAAUAAAGUUAAAAAACCAAACAUUCUUUCAUGAUAAUAAUCUGAUCGAGUUUCAUUUUUUCGUUAAUCAAACGGUGCCCAUACAUCGAGUGACGGUCAAAUUAACGUUGUGAGCUCGGCCCUACGAAGAUUUGAGCUUUCAGCAAUAAAGAAGGACAAGAAACAUCGUGUUUCGAAGUUACGAGAAAUUCGUACAGAUUUUUCGUUUUUCCACGCUGUCUGACAAAUAUGCAAUUUAUUCAGGAGACACCUCGGCAGCCGAUAAACUCAGAUCCAUAGAGUAUGGAAUUAUACAUAGAAGGAAUAAGUGAAAAAAAUUCAAAUGGAAGGGGUAACGUUGUUGUCAUGAUAUAUGAAUAUCAUAUUUGUAUAUAAAUAUAAUUCAUUAUUAUAUAUAAAUAUUAUAUUUGUGUACGACGAGUGUAUGUUUAGGAAUAAAAUUGUAGGAUCAUCGGAUAGAAUUCGACAUUAUAACAAGAAAUUCAAAAUCUUAUUGCUAUUAAUUUCAACAUUAUCAUCAUAAUUAUUGCUAUCAUAAUUAAUUACGGGAAUAAAAGCAGGAGUCAAGCCUUACGGAAAGAAACUGUGGAAAGAAAUACAAUUGGACGUCGUUGGAUUUUUGAUAAUUAUUAUCAUUAUUUUUCAUUACUAUCCAACUGAGCAAAAUAUAAAAUUAAAUUAUACAAUCUUUCGUCAUGUUUUUCCGGCUCAUUUCCCACAAAUUACGUUUUUUGCUUCCACUCUGCCACUAAUAACCUCAAUAAUUGACUUCCACGUAAAAUUUCAAGGUUCGUGACGUUUGAGGCUUUUUUAUUCCGUAAGGGCAACUGACACGUCGCUUUUGGAAAACGAUUAAAAGAUAUUUGUCUUGUUUUUCGUAUUGUGAACGAGAUGACGCUGUAUUUUUCGGUGUUUCGACCUCGGGGAUGGGCCAGAGGAUGAACAAUAAGGCAUUUAUGUGCGGACAUUCAUUUUCUGCCCGCCCUUCUGCUGUCGAGCACCGUGCGCGCAUCUAGGCAAUUUGUACAUAAGCGUGAAUUUAUCUUUCUUAUUAUUAUUAAUUAUAUUGUAACGGCAUAUAUAUUAUUCUUAGCGAUUAUGACAUAUACGGCAGAAACAGAUUAAAAACAGUGUAGAAAAUGGAAAGUCUGUCUCGCUCUGUGAGCGUUGGAAUCAUUUUCAUUGGCGCAAUUUCAUUCCUAUACACGGACUGUUUUGUUUUUCGACUUUUUUUUUAGCAUCGGAAUUCGUCUGAUUGGCAUAAUAAAAAGAAUACGAAGAAA
rnacentral:misc_RNA from 1 species